GUAUAACCAAACCAUAUAUACACGUCUACUACAAUUUCUAAAACUAUAAUCAUGUUCGGUAUUAUCAUAAUCAAACCAUAUUUUCUAUUUCGGUUUAGUUUGGUUUGGUUUUGCAUAUUCUCCAUGUCAAAAAACCGUAAUUCGUCGGUGACAAUGCACGCUUGCACUUCCCAUAAGCACCCAAGCCCUAAGCUAGGUCAACCUAUCCUCACUACCACUACUAGGAACCCUUCUCUAUAAGUAGAAACCCUCCUGAGAUCUCUUCUUUCCUCA
rnacentral:lncRNA from 1 species